CAAAAGGUUUUUUUUAAAACCAUCAGCAAAUAAUAGAUGCAAUUG
rfam:Monodelphis domestica chromosome 5, whole genome shotgun sequence.